rnacentral:rRNA from 1 species
AGCGUACACGGUGGAUGCCCUGGCAGUCAGAGGCGAUGAAGGGCGUGCUAAUCUGCGAUAAGCGCCGGUAAGGUGAUAUGAACCGUUAUAACCGGCGAUACCCGAAUGGGGAAACCCAGUGUGACUCGUCACACUAUCAUUAACUGAAUCCAUAGGUUAAUGAGGCGAACCGGGGGAACUGAAACAUCUAAGUACCCCGAGGAAAAGAAAUCAACCGAGAUUCCCCCAGUAGCGGCGAGCGAACGGGGAGGAGCCCAGAGCCUGAAUCAGCAUGUGUGUUAGUGGAAGCGUCUGGAAAGGCGCGCGAUACAGGGUGACAGCCCCGUACACAAAAGCGCAUGUGCUGUGAGCUCGAUGAGUAGGGCGGGACACGUGGUAUCCUGUCUGAAUAUGGGGGGACCAUCCUCCAAGGCUAAAUACUCCUGACUGACCGAUAGUGAACCAGUACCGUGAGGGAAAGGCGAAAAGAACCCCGGCGAGGGGAGUGAAAAAGAACCUGAAACCGUGUACGUACAAGCAGUGGGAGCACCCUUUGGGGUGUGACUGCGUACCUUUUGUAUAAUGGGUCAGCGACUUAUAUUCUGUAGCAAGGUUAACCGAAUAGGGGAGCCGGAGGGAAACCGAGUCUUAAUUGGGCGUUAAGUUGCAGGGUAUAGACCCGAAACCCGGUGAUCUAGCCAUGGGCAGGUUGAAGGUUGGGUAACACUAACUGGAGGACCGAACCGACUAAUGUUGAAAAAUUAGCGGAUGACCUGUGGCUGGGGGUGAAAGGCCAAUCAAACCGGGAGAUAGCUGGUUCUCCCCGAAAGCUAUUUAGGUAGCGCCUCGUGAAUUCAUCUCCGGGGGUAGAGCACUGUUUCGGCUAGGGGGCCAUCCCGGCUUACCAACCCGAUGCAAACUGCGAAUACCGGAGAAUGUUAUCACGGGAGACACACGGCGGGUGCUAACGUCCGUCGUGAAGAGGGAAACAACCCAGACCGCCAGCUAAGGUCCCAAAGUCAUGGUUAAGUGGGAAACGAUGUGGGAAGGCCCAGACAGCCAGGAUGUUGGCUUAGAAGCAGCCAUCAUUUAAAGAAAGCGUAAUAGCUCACUGGUCGAGUCGGCCUGCGCGGAAGAUGUAACGGGGCUAAACCAUGCACCGAAGCUGCGGCAGCGACACUGAUGUGUUGUUGGGUAGGGGAGCGUUCUGUAAGCCUGUGAAGGUGGCCUGUGAGGGUUGCUGGAGGUAUCAGAAGUGCGAAUGCUGACAUAAGUAACGAUAAAGCGGGUGAAAAGCCCGCUCGCCGGAAGACCAAGGGUUCCUGUCCAACGUUAAUCGGGGCAGGGUGAGUCGACCCCUAAGGCGAGGCCGAAAGGCGUAGUCGAUGGGAAACGGGUUAAUAUUCCCGUACUUGGUGUUACUGCGAAGGGGGGACGGAGAAGGCUAUGUUGGCCGGGCGACGGUUGUCCCGGUUUAAGCGUGUAGGUGUGUGUUCCAGGUAAAUCCGGUUCACUUUAACACUGAGGCGUGACGACGAGGCACUACGGUGCUGAAGCAACAAAUGCCCUGCUUCCAGGAAAAGCCUCUAAGCAUCAGGUAACAUCAAAUCGUACCCCAAACCGACACAGGUGGUCAGGUAGAGAAUACCAAGGCGCUUGAGAGAACUCGGGUGAAGGAACUAGGCAAAAUGGUGCCGUAACUUCGGGAGAAGGCACGCUGACAUGUAGGUGAAGUGAUUUACUCAUGGAGCUGAAGUCAGUCGAAGAUACCAGCUGGCUGCAACUGUUUAUUAAAAACACAGCACUGUGCAAACACGAAAGUGGACGUAUACGGUGUGACGCCUGCCCGGUGCCGGAAGGUUAAUUGAUGGGGUCAGCGCAAGCGAAGCUCCUGAUCGAAGCCCCGGUAAACGGCGGCCGUAACUAUAACGGUCCUAAGGUAGCGAAAUUCCUUGUCGGGUAAGUUCCGACCUGCACGAAUGGCGUAAUGAUGGCCAGGCUGUCUCCACCCGAGACUCAGUGAAAUUGAACUCGCUGUGAAGAUGCAGUGUACCCGCGGCAAGACGGAAAGACCCCGUGAACCUUUACUAUAGCUUGACACUGAACAUUGAGCCUUGAUGUGUAGGAUAGGUGGGAGGCUUUGAAGUGUGGACGCCAGUCUGCAUGGAGCCGACCUUGAAAUACCACCCUUUAAUGUUUGAUGUUCUAACGUGGACCCGUUACCCGGGUUGCGGACAGUGUCUGGUGGGUAGUUUGACUGGGGCGGUCUCCUCCUAAAGAGUAACGGAGGAGCACGAAGGUUGGCUAAUCCUGGUCGGACAUCAGGAGGUUAGUGCAAUGGCAUAAGCCAGCUUGACUGCGAGCGUGACGGCGCGAGCAGGUGCGAAAGCAGGUCAUAGUGAUCCGGUGGUUCUGAAUGGAAGGGCCAUCGCUCAACGGAUAAAAGGUACUCCGGGGAUAACAGGCUGAUACCGCCCAAGAGUUCAUAUCGACGGCGGUGUUUGGCACCUCGAUGUCGGCUCAUCACAUCCUGGGGCUGAAGUAGGUCCCAAGGGUAUGGCUGUUCGCCAUUUAAAGUGGUACGCGAGCUGGGUUUAGAACGUCGUGAGACAGUUCGGUCCCUAUCUGCCGUGGGCGCUGGAGAACUGAGGGGGGCUGCUCCUAGUACGAGAGGACCGGAGUGGACGCAUCACUGGUGUUCGGGUUGUCAUGCCAAUGGCACUGCCCGGUAGCUAAAUGCGGAAGAGAUAAGUGCUGAAAGCAUCUAAGCACGAAACUUGCCCCGAGAUGAGUUCU